AGUAGUGGGAAGUUUGAUGUGAGGGGGGAGGAGAGGAUCUGCGAUGGCACAUCUCUUCCUCUUCUCCACCAGGUUAACGGCAAAGACACCCUCUCUCUUCUCUUCAACCCUCAUCUACGCCUAACUACUUCACAUUUUAAACUUCAAUUCCAGUUUCAGGGAUACGUACACAGUACUUAGAAUCGCUUAUGUGCCAGACUGCACGAAAGUGGUAUGAACUAUACUGUAUUGUAGGUUCGGGGACUAAUGUUCCUUGCAAGGAGCAUGGGGAUGCAUAACUAGUUGGGAUGGAAUGGAAGCAUUGGCCUCAUAUGUGUAAUGCGUGCAGCACCUUCGUAUACCAAAAAGGAAAAUGUAUGAUGAAUACUGUGAAUCUGUGAUCACUUCUUAAUGAGUCUUUGAGAAACUCAAUUCCCUAUAUGUGUUGUGCAUCCAUUCCAAUUGUAAGAAAUAUAUCAUUGGAGACUCGACCAAGAAUAACAAAGAUACUAUUCCCUUUC